rnacentral:rRNA from 1 species
CAGUAGCCGCGGUAAAACGAAGGGUGCAAGCGUUACUCGGAAUUACUGGGCGUAAAGCGUGCGUAGGUGGUGGUUUAAGUCCGUUGUGAAAGCCCUGGGCUCAACCUGGGAAUUGCAGUGGAUACUGGGUCACUAGAGUGUGGUAGAGGAUAGUGAAAUUUCCGGUGUAGCAGUGAAAUGCGUAGAGAUCGGAAGGAACAUCUGUGGCGAAGGCAGCCCCCUGGGCCAACACUGACGCUCAUGCACGAAAGCGUGGGGAGCAAACAGGAUUAGAUACCCCAGUAGUCCCUGUCUCUUAUAC